UACAGAGGGGGCAAGGCGUUGUUCGGAAUUACUGGGCGUAAAGGGCGCGUAGGCGGCCGCCUAAGUCAGACGUGAAAUCCCUCAGCUUAACUGGGGAACUGCGUCUGAUACUGGAUGGCUUGGAUUCGGGAGAGGAAUGCGGAAUUCCGUGUGUAGCGGUGAAAUGCGUAGAUAUACGGAGGAACACCAGCGGCGAAGGCGGGUAGCUGGGCCGAGCACUGACAC
rnacentral:rRNA from 1 species